AAAGCAAGGAGAAAAGGUUGAAUAAUCUUAUAAGUUGAGGUGAGGGGAGUGGGAUGGAAUAUUUAGCCAAUUCUCAUGCCUGUGGCAUGAAGGAAACAGUCACCAGCUAUUAAUGAAGAAAAUUCUCAACAGUUUGUCAAGGAAGGAGUGUUUAAAACAAAAGAAACAAGAAGAAGGGAGAGAGGUUCAGCUUCUGGUAU